AAUCAAAACCAGCCGAAGAAUUUCAAGAGAGGGGGAGAAGAAGAGACUCUGUGAGAUAUUGUGAAAGAGAAAUGGACGAUAAUGGAGGGAGGAGGACGAGAGAUGGUGUGGGGAUACCAGAUGAAGGGUAUGGUCCGGGAGAAGAGUACGACAAUGGAAAGGAGAGAGGCGUGGCCGGAGAAGACGAGGUGGAGUCCAUCGAGAAGAUAUUCGCGUCCCAGGAGGUGCCGUCCUGGAAGAGUCAGCUGACAUUCAGGGCUUUUGCAGUGAGCCUGCUGCUGAGUGUUGCGUUCAGCUUCAUUGUGAUGAAGCUGAACCUCACGACGGGGAUCAUCCCCUCGCUGAAUGUUGCUGCGGGGCUGCUGGGGUACUUCUUUGUUAAGACUUGGAAUCGCCUUUAGCGGUUCUACUUCGACUUCUCAGCGACAUAUGUUGGAGUCGGGAUGAUCUGCCCUUAUAUCAUAAACAUCUCAGUUCUUGUCGGAGGGAUAAUCUCUUGGGGUCUGAUGUGGCCACUAAUUGAAAAGAGAGCAGGAGAAUGGUGGGAUCCAAUGGCUGCAAAAAUUGAAGAUAUGCGGGGCAUUAAAGGCUACAUGGUAUUUCUUGGUAUUGCUUUGAUUCUUGGGGAUGGACUCUAUAACUUCCUCAAGGUACUGAGCAUCACGUUACAUGCUAUGUACCAGCAGUUCCGGAAAAGGGAGAACGUUCUUCCUGUAGCCUCUGAUUCCUCCCCAGAGAGCUCUGAGCGCUCCUUUGAUGAGCAGAGGAGGACCCAGAUGUUUCUCAAAGACCAGAUCCCCUAUUGGUUUGCCGUUAUAUAUAUAUAUAAAUCAAAGAUAUAUAUAUAUAUAUAUAUAAAACAUGAUCUCGUUAGCUAUACUCUUCGUUCUUCAGUGCACUGGGGAGAGGAGUUAGUUUCCCACAUCCGUCCCCGAGCAGUCGAAUUGAUGUGGCGUCUGAGAAAUGCUUCGAGUUACUGAUGGUCCAGGCUUUUGCGACUGGCCUGCAGCUCCUCAUGCAUGUCAUCCUCGACAACAGGACCUCAUGCAGAAGAUGGAGGUCCCGUUGUCGAGGAUGACACGCAUGAGGAGCUGCAGGCCAGUCGCAAAGGCCUGGACCAUCAGCAUCCUCACUAUCGCCUUCGAUGACUCGAAUCAUUUCUUCUCAGACGCCAUAUCAAUCCGACUGCUCAGGGACGGACGUGGGAAAUUGACUUCUCUUCCCAGUGCACUGAAGAAGGAAGAGUAUAGCUAGUGAGAUCAUGUUUAUAUAUGUAUAUAUCUUUGAUUUAUGUAAUGUAUAUAAAAUGUAUGUGUAUAUAUAUAUAUAUAUAUAUAUAUGCCGUGUUGAGAUUUUUUGAACAGAUAGUUUUAUUCGUCACUCAUUUGCUUUGUGUUUGACUCGUCACAAGAUGAGAUCACCAAUUCAAAUAAACACCACUUCCCUGCGCAACUGAUCCAACUUCCAUCGAGCUAGUCUCUCGGUGCACUUGACUAAUUAACACAUUCGUCGGUGAUGUGUACAUAUUCAAUUCAUGCGUCCAAUUGCAAGAUAUUAAUAUUUUGUCCC